rnacentral:rRNA from 1 species
GGGGGGGGGGGGGGGGGGGCGGAGCACGUGCAGGGCGGACGGUGGGGGCCUUUCGGGGGUACACGAGUGGCGAACGGGGGAGUAACACGGGAGUAACCUGCCCUCAUCUCUGGGAUAACAGUCGGAAACGGGUGCUAAUACUGGAUAUGAGCUUGCAAGGCAUCUUGUGGGUUGGAAAGAUUUUUUUGGUUGGGGAUGGACUCGCGGCCUAUCAGCUUGUUGGUGAGGUAGUGGCUCACCAAGGCGUCGACGGGUAGCCGGCCUGAGAGGGAGACCGGCCACAUUGGGACUGAGAUACGGCCCAAACUCCUACGGGAGGCAGCAGUGGGGAAUAUUGCACAAUGGACGGAAGUCUGAUGCAGCAACGCCGCGUGCGGGAUGACGGCCUUCGGGUUGUAAACCGCUUUCAAUUGUGACGAAGCUUUUUGUGACGGUAGCAGUAGAAGAAGCACCGGCUAACUACGUG